CUACGGGAUGCAGCAGUGGGGAAUAUUGCACAAUGGGCGCAAGCCUGAUGCAGCCAUGCCGCGUGUAUGAAGAAGGCCUUCGGGUUGUAAAGUACUUUCAGCGGGGAGGAAGGGAGUAAAGUUAAUACCUUUGCUCAUUGACGUUACCCGCAGAGGAAGCACCGGCUAACUCCGUGCCAGCAGCCGCGGUAACACGGAGGGUGCAGGCGUUAAUCGGAAUUACUGGGCGUAAAGCGCACGCAGGCGGUUUGUUAAGUCAGAUGUGAAAUCCCCGGGCUCAACCUUGGAACUGCAUCUGAUACUGGCAAGCUUGAGUCUCGUAGAGGGGGGUAGAAUUCCAGGUGUAGCGGUGAAAUGCGUAGAGAUCUGGAGGAAUACCGGUGGCGAAGGCGGCCCCCUGGACGAAGACUGACGCUCAGGUGCGAAAGCGUGGGGAGCAAACAGGAUUAGAUACCCCCGUAGUC
rnacentral:rRNA from 1 species